AAUGUGGGGGCACGUAACCUCCAUCCACACACCGGCUGCCCGGAUACAGGGCUAUAUUUAGAUUGACCUAUGUUGUUGUUGACGCGUGACCUAUGCAAAUGUAGCACUUGUUAACUCAAUGUCCAUUCACUCUUGAAACAAGUAGGUCCAUAGUUUUAGAGGGUUUCUUCUACAUUUUCUUAUUAUAAUUGUAUAAGAAUGACAAUAAUGUCUAGGUGGAAGUUCCUUUGAGUAUAUUAUGUCAUUUACGGGUGUAAGUAAUCCGUAACAGCAUUUUGUUGAGGGUGCAAUAAUAUUUUAGAGACACUUGGUGAUGUGUCCGCAUCGUGCGGGAGCGCGCGAAACAGGCACUGCUUGUCUUCCAACUUUUGGACGGCAGUCACUUAUUUUGUAGCCGGGAUUUUCUCGGUGAGAAUUCACCUUUCCUUUGCUGUUUGCCAGCAUAAUCAUGUGCUGAGUGGGAAGGUGGGCGCCUCUGGAACCUGUGGUGAGUGUCCUUUUUAUCAUAACUUUGCGGGAAACUUGCGUUUUUGUGACACUUUCACUCACGAACUUUCCAAUUUUGCAGCGUCGUCGUCAUAGCUACAGUCGUGCAUAUUCCCACACACACCCACGUUGUACUUGUAUGCACAGCGUCUGAACUCGUGUUGUGUGUGUGACCUUUGACCGCCAUUGUGUGUACACAUUCACCAUGUAUUUUGACCGCAGUGUUGUCUUGUUUAUUUUUCCGUAGGCAAUAUGUAGGCGCGGUCUACUGUGAGACCUUCAUUUAUUGCACCUGGGGAUCUUUACUACACGGGAUCUUUACUACACGGGAUCUUUACUACACGGGAUCUUUACUACACGGGAUCUUUACUAUACGGGAUCUUUUGCCUGGUGAUCUGUCUUUGCAUCGUGACCGGGAUCCACACACAUAGCACAUAUACUGGGGAAGUUUUGGGAUCAACAUCUGUUCAUCAUGUUCAUUAACUGCAACUGAUCUAAUUAACUCAUUGGUUAUUCUACUGAUUUGCUGAUGUUUGAAUAAAUUCUCUAUUAAUCGCUGAAAUUGAACUGAACUGGUGAUUCCGUGUGAUUCCAUCUGGGGCAGCCUCCAACACACUUAUCCUGAUUUAGUUUGGGAUCAAACUCCCUCAUCAUGCUGUGACACCGCAGUAUUCAAAUCACUUCAAAAAUGGCGACGAGGAUGGGAUGGAGUGUGUUGCUUGUUGAUCUCGUCGUGAUCCUUCAUCAUCGGUCAUCAAAUUCAAAGAUCCCCUGGUGCACGUUUCAACCUUUCAAGUCCUGCGACUGUGGAGGAUGUGGCUACUGAUGUCCUUCAGUGGGAGAUCUGUAAAUCGGCAGUUUUCUCAAAUUUUGCAAUAUGUAGGCGCGGUCUACUGUGAGACCUUCAUUUAUUGCACCUGGGGAUCUUUACUACACGGGAUCUUUACUACACGGGAUCUUUACUACACGGGAUCUUUACUACACGGGAUCUUUACUAUACGGGAUCUUUUGCCUGGUGAUCUGUCUUUGCAUCGUGACCGGGAUCCACACACAUAGCACAUAUACUGGGGAAGUUUUGGGAUCAACAUCUGUUCAUCAUGUUCAUUAACUGCAACUGAUCUAAUUAACUCAUUGGUUAUUCUACUGAUUUGCUGAUGUUUGAAUAAAUUCUCUAUUAAUCGCUGAAAUUGAACUGAA
rnacentral:lncRNA from 1 species